rnacentral:rRNA from 1 species
AGGAUGGGACUGCGGCCGAUCAGGCUGUUGGUGGGGUAAUGGCCCACCAAACCUGUAACCGGUACGGGCCUUGAGAGAGGGGGCCCGGAGAUGGACACUGAGAGAAGGGUCCAGGUCCUACGGGGCGCAGCAGGCGCGAAACCUUCACAAUGCGCGAAAGCGUGAUGAGGUUAAUCCGAGUGGUCCCCGCUGAGGGGAUCUUUUCUUGGCUCUAAAACGGCCAGGGAAUAAGGGGAGGGCAAGUCUGGUGUCAGCCGCCGCGGUAAUACCAGCUCCUCGAGUGGUCGGGGCGAUUAUUGGGCCUAAAGCAUCCGUAGCCUGUUCUGUAGGUCCUCUGUUAAAUCCAACGGCUUAACCGUUGGCCCGCAGAGGAUACCGCAGGACUAGGAGGCGGGAGAGGUGGACGGUACUCCACGUGUAGGGGUAAAAUCCUUUGAUCCGUGGAAGACCACCAGUGGCGAAGGCGGUCCACCAGAACGCGCUCGACGGUGAGGGAUGAAAGCUGGGGGAGCGAACCGGAUUAGAUACCCGGGUAGUCCCAGCCGUAAACGAUGCGAGCUAGAUGAUCCGGUCGCAAAUCGCGAUCGGAGUGUCGCAGGGAAGCCGUUAAGCUCGCCGCCUGGGGAGUACGGUCGCAAGACUGAAACUUAAAGGAAUUGG